rnacentral:rRNA from 1 species
UACGUAGGGGGCUAGCGUUGUCCGGAAUCAUUGGGCGUAAAGCGCGUGUAGGCGGUCCGGUAAGUCCGCUGUGAAAGUCGGGGGCUCAACCCUCGGAUGCCGGUGGAUACUGUCGGGCUUGAGUACGGAAGAGGCGAGUGGAAUUCCUGGUGUAGCGGUGAAAUGCGCAGAUAUCAGGAAGAACACCAACGGCGAAGGCAGCUCGCUGGGACGGUACUGACGCUGAGACGCGAAAGCGUGGGGAGCGAACAGG